rnacentral:piRNA from 1 species
UAGAUGCUUUUCUGAGGAUUGGU